rnacentral:lncRNA from 1 species
UGUCGUAACAUUACUUAUAAGCAUAAUGAAAUAUAUAAUACACGUAAUGAAAGAAUAUACUGCAAGUUGAUUAAUUAGCAAGUUAAGAUUGCAGUAUGAUUGGAAAAGACCGACUGCUUGGGGUUUUACUUGUGAUAUUAGGAACCAUCAUACUGAUGUAUUUCACUGUAUGGCUUCUGCUAUUGCCAUUCUUUGAUCCUGAACAUAGAAUCCACAUUUUAUUUCCUCCAGUCCAAUUGGGAUUGGCUUUGGCAGUUUCAAGUGGUGCUUUAUUUUUUGGAAGCCUGGGAAUUUAUGGUUACCUACACAGGUUGGGAAGAAAAAUUCCUUAAGAAAAGAUCAUUCCAUACUUUUCAACCAUCUAAUGUUUGGACAUGUCAGAAGCAAACCAUAUGUAGCUCUGGCAUCCAGCCAUCAUCCCAAUGAGAAAACCUGCCUCCGUUGUCAUUCUGAGAAAAGAAAGGUGAGCAAGUCUGUCAACCACUUGAAAUUGUGUCUGGUUCUACUGUCAAAAUAAUAAAUCCCAAACUGUUGUAUCGAUCUGGUGAGACCAUGUCUCUAUAAUGUCCUAAAGGCCAACAAUUAGAAAAUGGAAUCUCCAUUGUAGUAUGUUUAUCACCCACCUGAUCAGAGAGCACUCUACCUAAGUGAAUCAGUGCAGAAGAUGUUCCUGGUGGUUCUGUGACAACCUAAUGGUUGUCCAAUAAAGAAUUAGUGUAUAAUAUGGAUUAAUUUUUACAAUGUAUAUUUAAUUCAUGUCCAACUUUGCCAUCGAUCUGACAAAUGUUUGUUAUUGAAUGGAAAAUUUCCCUUGUGUGUUAUUAUAAUAUCAAACUUUUCACUUUGUUAAAAUGUAUAAUUCUUGUCUUAUUCAACUGAGCAUAGUUACUUUUUCUCUGUGUAAUUGUGUGUAAAAAUCCUCUUAGUUUUUAAUGAGAUAUUACAAUUUGUAUAUAAAGACAUAACAGCAAAGGUAUAUUUCUGUUGAACUAUUUUGGAUUAAUAAAUACAAGUUUCAUUUGUGUUUGUAGA